AGUGAACGCUGGCGGUAGGCCUAACACAUGCAAGUCGAACGGCAGCACAGUAAGAGCUUGCUCUUACGGGUGGCGAGUGGCGGACGGGUGAGGAAUACAUCGGAAUCUACUUUUUCGUGGGGGAUAACGUAGGGAAACUUACGCUAAUACCGCAUACGACCUACGGGUGAAAGCAGGGGAUCUUCGGACCUUGCGGGAUUGAAUGAGCCGAUGACGGAUUAGCUAGUUGGCGGGGUAAAGGCCCACCAAGGCGACGAUACGUAGCUGGUCUGAGUGGAUGAUCAGCCACACUGGAACUGAGACACGGUCCAGACUCCUACGGGAGGCAGCAGUGGGGAAUAUUGGACAAUGGGCGCAAGCCUGAUCCAGCCAUACCGCGUGGGUGAAGAAGGCCUUCGGGUUGUAAAGCCCUUUUGUUGGGAAAGAAAAGCAGCAGGUUAAUACCCCGCUGUUCUGACGGUACCCAAAGAAUAAGCACCGGCUAACUUCGUG
rnacentral:rRNA from 1 species